rnacentral:tRNA from 1 species
GGGGUUGUGGCUCAGUGGUAGAGAGCUUGCCUAGCAUGUGUGAGGCACUGUUAGAUUCUCAGCACCA